CGAUGUGAACUUUCACAGAAAGACAGGUUGAGUCACGAGUGCUACUACAAUCAGAAAAGAAACUUUUAAAGCACCAUUCCAAGAACUCUUGAAGCCAUGCACAUAGUGUACUUGGCCUUUCAAAACCAACUGAGGCAGCACACACAGAAAAAAAUCCAUAUUAAUAAGGAAUUCCUUAUAUUAAAUUAAUAUCAUAAAACAAUAUAUUAUUAUAUACACCAAAAUAUAAUUACUUGUAGUUCACAUUGUAGAAAAAAUACCAGCAAAAACACCUUUCUGAAUGCUUCCAAAGUGAAUUUGAAGGAUAAACACAACUCACAAAACAAAGCCAUCAUAUGCUUUUGAAUUACACAUUAGUACUUGUAUUAUUCUUUGCAGCAUAACAAAAAACAGAAGCAAAACUUCUUGUUAUUUUCACACAAUUCUAAAUGUAUCUCAAUCAGAGUGGGUUUGCAAAGAUGAUCUCAACAAAAUUUUUAAAGCUUAUUUUCUGUGGUGUUUGAAUAAACCUACUGUCAAGAAUUCAGGUUUUUAAAAGUUUUUUUUAAUUAUUAUUAUUAUUAUUAUUUACAGCUUGAUCUGUGCAAUGAAAACCUGAAGGUUGUCUUGAAGGCCUUGGAUUCAGAAAACACUGAAACCUCAGAAUAAGGCAAGGAUUCAGCUGACGGAGCUGUUGUGAUAUGAGACUGCAAGAAUAUUCCUGAGCAUGAGUUUAUGGGAUCCCGUUAAGAUAUUUUAUAUUCUUGGGGCUACACCCUGUAACCAGCUACAGGGUUUUUUUACGAGAAUACCCAUUCCCUGAUUCCUCACUUCUAUACGUCCAUCUACUAAAAAUUACUUUGGUGCCCAUCACCAGCACAGCCUUGCAACUGAAGUUGAGAGGAGGAGAAAAGUGAGAAGACAUAACAUCAGAACUGUACGUUUCCUAAACUGUCUUGAAAAUGCAGGGCAGCUUCUGCUAAACCUUUCAUAGCGGUACAAAAUAGGCUGAGAUGGGAUCUGAAUAUCUGAAUUUUAGUGAGGCACAUUAAAAACACAGUAUAGCAUCUCCCAUAGGAUUUUAAAAAAGAAUGUAGACUUUGCCUCCGGACAUGCAAACGUAAAACCUUCCAUUAACCUCAGUGCACAGAUGAAGAUAAAUUAUAUACUGAAGUAGUUCACUUC
ensembl:lncRNA